rnacentral:rRNA from 1 species
GAUUAACGCUGGCGGUAUGCCUAAUACCUGCCAGUCGAGCGCCCAACACUCUGUUUACCAUAAGUUGUAGAUAGAGUGUUGGGAGCGGCAGACGGGUGAGUAUCACGUUGGUAACUGCCUCAUAGUCAGGGAUAAGCCUUAGAAAUAAGGUCUAAUACCGGAUAGUCCCGCAAGGGUAAAGUUUUAUACGCUAUGAGAGGUGCCUGCGUCCUAUCAGCUUGUUGGUGAGGUAAAAGCUUACCAAGGCUAUGACGGGUAGUUGGUCUGAGAGGAUGACCAGCCACAAUGGAACUGAGACACGGUCCAUACUCCUACGGGAGGCAGCAGUAAGGAAUUUUGCGCAAUGGGGGAAACCCUGACGCAUCAAUACCGCGUGAAGGAUGAAGGCCUUUUGGUUGUAAACUUCUUUUCUGAAGGAAUAAAUAUGAAUGUACUUCAGGAAUAAGCACCGGCUAACUCCGUGCCAGCAGCCGCGGUAAGACGGAGGGUGCAAGCGUUAUCCGGAAUUAUUGGGCGUAAAGAGUCCGUAGGCGUUUUGUUAAGUAUGAAAUCAAAGACCGAAGCUCAACUUCGGGCAGGUUUCAUAAACUGGCACAAUAGAGUGAUGCAGAGGCAAAUGGAAUUCUGUGUGUAGGGGUAAUAUCCGUAGAUCAUACACAGGAACACCAAGAGCGGAUGGCAGUUUGCUGGGCAUUCACU